rnacentral:rRNA from 1 species
UACGUAGGGUGCAAGCGUUGUCCGGAAUUAUUGGGCGUAAAGAGCUCGGUAGGCGGUUUGUUGCGUCGGCUGUGAAAUCCCGAGGCUCAACCCUCGGGUCUGCAGUCGAUACGAGCAAACUAGAGUGUUGCAGGGGAGACUGGAAUUCCUGGUGUAGCGGUGAAAUGCGCAGAUAUCAGGAGGAACACCGGUGGCGAAGGCGGGUCUCUGGGCAACAACGUGACGCUGGAGGA